UUCAUUGGCCAUGAAAACAUUGUU
rnacentral:snRNA from 1 species